GCCUCAGUUUCUUAAUAAAACGGGGAAAAUCAGGGGACAUAUGCCCCUGGGUUGUUUUGCGGAUGAAAUGCGUGAACAUGGCAGGGUGCUGUGAUCAUGCCUGACAGAGAAAGUCCUCAAAAAAUGUUUUUGUGGUUUUUGGUUGGGAGAAGGUAGCAGGAAACCCUCUCAGUGAAGACACACUGAAGGGGGAUCCGGAUGAGGGGUCUGGAUCUGCCAUUACCUAGUUUCUGUGAACUUGGGUCUCAGUUUUAUGCCAAUACUAAUUCUAAUAUUAACAACAGCAACGUAUGUGUUUGCGUACUUACUAUCACCCAGGAACCUCACGCGUUUUAUUUCGUUGGCUAUUCACAACAUCUCUCUGAGGCAGAUGCUAUUAUUAUUUCCCUUCUCCAAAUGAGGAAACAGAGGCUAAGAGGUGUGAAGCAGCUUCCCCGAGGCCACACGGCUACUAAGGCCCAGAGGAGGGAUUUGAAUUCAGGGCUGUCUGCCAGAUGCGAGAGCCUGAGGCGAUGCCCACUGCACCACCCUGCCCCAUCUGUAAGGUCUUUCCCAGUUUUGCUGGUCUGUGAUGCUGGGAGAACACCAGGACCUUCUGAGGAGCAACCAAAGACAGCAUUUGAGUGUUUAUCUACUUUCCACAAACAUCUCGCGUCAGCGGUUUCUUUUUAACAGGAGGAAAAAGUUUCUGGACAAGAAUGAGGCCUCUUGAUGAAUGCUGUGGGGGCACAGAGUAGACUGCCAUGUAGAAAGUGCUAGAACAGGGAAAGAAAUCCUCCUGCACUUCUCAGGCUGAUGGGUGAUGAGUAGUGGCUUCUUAAAGUGCUCUCUGUGAAAAGGAGUUCUGAGGCCACAUCUCAGGAAGGAGGAUUGCUGUGAUCCACAACUGAUGUCUGUCACGCUCAUGGUGGCCAUAUCUCGGGAACAUGGUCCAAGAUAUUGACUGGGUGAAUUGAGAUGGCCACCUUUAAACUGAAGCAGCCACUUUAUCCUCAAUGCUGCCUUUAUGUCUAAUGCAUAGUUUUCUCAGUAACUGUUUUUUUUUUUUUAACGAAUUCUUUAAUUUAUACUUCUUUGGAUGUGAGUUCAUUUGAGUCUGUCAGGUCCUACAGCUCAGUGAUCCCUCCCAGAAGUGAGUGGCCAGGGAGUGCUGUGAGGAAGGCGGUGCUGUUUCUGUUUCAUACACGUGGUCAGCAAAGAACUCACUGGCAGAGUGACAUUUGAGCCAAGACUGAGCAAGUGAGGGAGCAAACCAUGAGGAUAUCUGGGGGACGAUGUUCCAGGCAGUGGAAACAGCCAGUUCAAAAGCCCUGAGGCAGGACUGUGCUUGACAUGUUUGAAGAACAGUGAAGAGGCUGGGAUGGCUGGAAUGAAGGGAGUGAGAGCCAGAGCAGUGGAUGUGGUGGUGAGAGGUGCCUGAGACUAAUUCCUAUAGGGCUGCACGGUCAUAUUACAGGCUUUGGCUUUGACCCUGAGCAAGAUAUGGGCCAUCAAAGGAUUUAGAGCCUAGAAUUGACUUACGUUUUAAGAGGAUCCCUCUGGCUGCUGGGCUAAGAACAGACCAGGUAGGAGGAGUGAGGAGGUCACAGCGUUUCCAGAUGAGAGGUGAUGGUGGCUGGGUCAAGGGAGAAGGAAGGGUCCGAUAGGGACCCUUCUCCCCAUAGGGAGAAGUGGUCCGAUUCUGGAUAUGUGUUGGAGGCAAGAGAUGGCAGAAUUUGCUAACGGAUUGGAUUAGGUGUGGGAUGUGAGAGAAUAAGAGAGUCAAGGGUGAUCCAAGAGGACAAGAGAGUCAGGAUGAUCCCAAGUUUUGGCCUGAGCAACUUAAAGGAUGGAGCUGCUACCACUCCCUGAGUCUGGGAGGGGCUAGUUUAAGGCAACAGAUCAGGAGCUCAAGGUCAGACAUGGAUUCUGGGGUGAGAUCAUGGAAUUCAACUGAAGGCCGUACUGGCUGCAUCAGGCGAUUGCCCUUUCUUUUUUGCUCCUUCUAUGGCCUCUUGGCAUGUCUAUAUUUUGAUUCUUCCUCUUCUCUUUGCAAACAAGUUUUCUCUGAUUAUUUUUUCAACAUGCCUCAGCAUGAAAACAUCUGCCUCUACCCUGAUUGGCUACUGCCUCUCUUAGUGUGUGGUUUAGAGCAGCAAUUUUCAAAUUGUGUGCCAAGGCACCUGGGGGUUCUGCAGCAAACUCAUAGGGGCACCAUGUAAUGUUUUACAUUUUCAAGGCAAAUACAGUGAUAGUUGACAUCUCCCCGAUGCCUCUUGAACUACUAGCUCAAGGUAGCUCAAUGCAGUUUCAGCAUUAGACUGCACGACAUUCCUUUCCAUGCCGCCAUAUCUUUGUAAGGUGGGUUUUCCGUGGUUGUUGUAAUAAAAAGCAAUUGUUACUUGAAAGUCAACCUGGAACGGGAAAGAAGGUGUUGCCCAAUCUGCUGCCAAGGUUUGAGAAUUCACGCAGUGCCCCAACAUCCCAUUGACAGCAAUUGUGAUUAAGAAUGAAAUAAAAAAAAUUUCUUUCAA